rnacentral:rRNA from 1 species
UGCCAGCAGCCGCGGUAAUAUGGAGGGUGCAAGCGUUAUCCGGAUUCACUGGGUUUAAAGGGUGCGUAGGCGGGAGAUUAAGUCAGAUGUGAAAGCCCGAGGCUCAACUUCGGGACUGCAUUUGAAACUGCCUUGCUAGAGUGCAGGAGAGGAAAGUGGAAUUCCUAGUGUAGCGGUGAAAUGCGUAGAUAUUAGGAGGAACACCAGUGGCGAAGGCGACUUUCUGGACUGUAACUGACGCUGAGGCACGAAAGCGUGGGGAGCGAACAGGAUUAGAUA